rnacentral:rRNA from 1 species
GAACGUAGCGAAAUGCGAUACUUGGUGUGAAUUGCAGAAUCCCCGUGAACCAUCGAGUCUUUGAACGCAAGUUGCGCCCCAAGCCAUUAGGCCGAGGGCACGUCUGCCUGGGUGUCA